UGGGGAAUCUUGCACAAUGGGGGAAACCCUGAUGCAGCGACGCCGCGUGAACGAUGAAGCCCUUCGGGGUGUAAAGUUCUUUCGACAGGAACGAUAAUGACGGUACCUGGAGAAGAAGCUGCGGCUAACUACGUGCCAGCAGCCGCGGUAAUACGUAGGCAGCGAGCGUUGUUCGGAGUUACUGGGCGUAAAGAGUGCGUAGGCGGCGUGCCAAGUUUGGUGUGAAAUCUCCCGGCUUAACCGGGAGGGUGCGCCGAAAACUGGUUGGCUGGAGUAUGGGAGAGGAAAGCGGAAUUCCUGGUGUAGCGGUGAAAUGCGUAGAUAUCAGGAGGAACACCUGCUGUGUAGACAGCUUUCUGGACCAAACCUGACGCUGAGGCACG
rnacentral:rRNA from 1 species